GGAAGAACUAACAAGGAUUCCCCUAGUAACUGCGAGUGAAGCGGGAAAAGCUCAAAUUUAAAAUCUGUCAGUCCUUUGGCUGUCCGAGUUGUAAUCUAGAGAAGUGUUAUCCGCGCUGGACCGUGUACAAGUCUCCUGGAAUGGAGCGUCAUAGAGGGUGAGAAUCCCGUCUUUGACACGGACUACCAGGGCUUUGUGAUGCGCUCUCAAAGAGUCGAGUUGUUUGGGAAUGCAGCUCAAAAUGGGUGGUAAAUUCCAUCUAAAGCUAAAUAUUGGCGAGAGACCGAUAGCGAACAAGUACCGUGAGGGAAAGAUGAAAAGAACUUUGGAAAGAGAGUUAAACAGUACGUGAAAUUGCUGAAAGGGAAACGCUUGAAGUCAGUCGCGUUGACCAGGGAUCAGCCUUGCUUUUGCUUGGUGUACUUUCUGGUUGACGGGUCAGCAUCAAUUUUGACUAUUUGAAAAAGAUCAGGGGAAUGUGGCAUCUUCGGAUGUGUUAUAGCCCUUGGUUGCAUAAAAUGGUUAGGAUUGAGGAACUCAGCACGCCGCAAGGCCGGGUUUUUAACCACGUACGUGCUUAGGAUGCUGGCAUAAUGGCUUUAAUCGACCCGUCUUGAAACACGGACCAAGGAGUCUAACAUGCCUGCGAGUGUUUGGGUGGAAAACCCGAGCGCGUAAUGAAAGUGAAAGUUGAGAUCCCUGUCGUGGGGAGCAUCGACGCCCGGACCAGACCUUUUGUGACGGUUCCGCGGUAGAGCAUGUAUGUUGGGACCCGAAAGAUGGUGAACUAUGCCUGAAUAGGGUGAAGCCAGAGGAAACUCUGGUGGAGGCUCGUAGCGAUUCUGACGUGCAAAUCGAUCGUCAAAUUUGGGUAUAGGGGCGAAAGACUAAUCGAACCAUCUAGUAGCUGGUUCCUGCCGAGUUUCCC
rnacentral:rRNA from 1 species